GGUAUCUUAGCUCAGUCUGGUAGAGCAACGGACUGAAAAUCCGUGAGUCCCCGGUUCAAUUCCGGGAGAUACCA
rnacentral:tRNA from 6 species